ACGUAGGGUGCGAGCGUUAAUCGGAAUUACUGGGCGUAAAGCGUGCGCAGGCGGCUUUGCAAGACAGAGGUGAAAUCCCCGGGCUCAACCUGGGAACUGCCUCUGUGACUGCAAGGCUAGAGUACGGCAGAGGGGGAUGGAAUUCCGCGUGUAGAAGUGAAAUGCGUAGAUAUGCGGAGGAACACCAAUGGCGAAGGCAAUCCCCUGGGCCUGUCCUGCCGCUCGUGCACGAAAGCGUGAGGAGCAAAAAG
rnacentral:rRNA from 1 species